CGUAGGCGGUUAGGUAAGUCAGAUGUGAAAUUCCAGGGCUCAACCUUGGAACUGCAUUUGAUACUGCUUGACUAGAGUACUGGAGGGGAGACUGGAAUUCACGGUGUAGCAGUGAAAUGCGUAGAUAUCGUGAGGAAGGCCAGCGGCGAAGGCGAGUCUCUGGACAGUUACUGACGCUGAGGCACGAAGGCUAGGGGAGCAAACG
rnacentral:rRNA from 1 species